rnacentral:rRNA from 1 species
GUCCUUGCCGUAAACGAUGUAUACUUGAUGUAGUUGGGCUCAACCCCGAUUGUGUCGAAGCGAACGCGAUAAGUAUACCGCCUGAGGAGUACGCUCGCAAGGGUGAAACUCAAAAGAAUUGACGGGGGCCCGCACAAGCAGUGGAGCAUGUGGUUUAAUUCGAUGCAACGCGAAGAACCUUACCCAGGCUCGAAAUGCAGUGGGAGGUGUCAGAGAUGACACCGUCCGCAAGGACUACUGUAUAGGUGCUGCAUGGCUGUCGU